GCCGCCGGUGGCACGGCACUCGCGCUGCUCGCGGCGGCGGCCGUCGCCGCGGUCCUGGAGUGGUUCCUGGCCGCCCGGCGGCC
rnacentral:tRNA from 1 species